rnacentral:ncRNA from 1 species
UUGAGCCGUAUGCGGGGGAACUCGCACGUGCGGUUCUUAGGGGGGGAGAUCUAUGUACAAUAUUCAUGUAAGUUUUUCAUUGAAUAUCUCUCAAAAUUUAC